GAUGAACGCUGGCGGCGUGCCUAAUACAUGCAAGUCGAGCGAACAGACGAGGAGCUUGCUCCUCUGACGUUAGCGGCGGACGGGUGAGUAACACGUGGAUAACCUACCUAUAAGACUGGGAUAACUUCGGGAAACCGGAGCUCAUACCGGAUAAUAUAUUUAACCGCAUGGUUCAAUAGUGAAAGACGGUUUUGCUGUCACUUAUAGAUGGAUCCGCGCCGCAUUAUCUAGUUGGUAAGGUAACGGCUUACCAAGGCAACGAUGCGUAGCCGACCUGAGGGGGGGAGCGGCAAUGCUGGAACGGAAAGACGGUCAAGACUACGAGGGGAGGCAGCAGGGGGUAAUCUGCCACGAUGGGCGAAAGCAUGACGGAGCAACGCGGGGGGGGUGAUGAAGGUCGGGGGAUCGUAAACCUCUGUUAGGGGGGAAAAACAAAUGUGUAAGUAACUAGGAGCGUUGAGAGGGUACCAAUACAGAAAGCCGCGGCAAAAUACG
rnacentral:rRNA from 1 species